GAAGCUCAGUCGGUUGAGCAUGAGACUUUAAAUUUCUGGGUCAUGGGUCCAAGCCACACCUUGGGCA